rnacentral:rRNA from 1 species
CCCUACGGGGUGCAGCAGGCGGAAUGAUAAGUCAGUGGUGAAAUCCUACGGCUCAACUGUAGAACUGCCAUUGAUACUGUUGUUCUUGAGUACACUUGGAGUGGGCGGAAUGUGUCAUGUAGCGGUGAAAUGCUUAGAUAUGACACAGAACACCGAUCGCGACGGCAGCUCACUAAAUUGUAACUGACGCUCAUGCACGAAAGCGUGGGGAUCAAACA